rnacentral:rRNA from 1 species
CUAGCGUUGCUCGGAAUUACUGGGCGUAAAGGGCGCGUAGGCGGACAGUUAAGUCAGAGGUGAAAGCCCAGGGCUCAACCCUGGAAUUGCCUUUGAUACUGGCUGUCUUGAGUAUGGGAGAGGUGAGUGGAACUCCGAGUGUAGAGGUGAAAUUCGUAGAUAUUCGGAAGAACACCAGUGGCGAAGGCGACUCACUGGCCCAUUACUGACGCUGAGGCGCGAAAGCGUGGGGAGCAAACAGG